UGAUUAUAGAAGACAUCCUGAAAAUCCC
rnacentral:sRNA from 1 species